rnacentral:rRNA from 1 species
UACGUAGGGUGCGAGCGUUAAUCGGAUUUACUGGGCGUAAAGCGUACGCAGGCGGCCCGUUAAGACAGGUGUGAAAUCCCUGGGCUCAACCUAGGAAUUGCGCUUGUGACUGGCGGGCUCGAGUACGGUAGAGGGGGGUGGAAUUCCUGGUGUAGCAGUGAAAUGCGUAGAGAUCAGGAGGAACACCGAUGGCGAAGGCAGCCCCCUGGGCCUGUACUGACGCUCAUGCACGAAAGCGUGGGGAGCAAACAGG